GUUUCUCUCUCGCACUGUCUCUCCAAAAAAAGAACUCAGGAGAUCUGAUUAAGAUUGAUGGAUCAUAUCAACAUUAAUAUGCUGGUUAUAAUACUGUAUUAGUUUUGUUAAAACGUUACCACUGGGAGACACUGGGCAAAGUGUACAGAGGUAUCUCUGUAUUAUCUCUCAUACUGCAUUUGAGUU